UCUUCUGUAAUGACAGUCACGUGCAAGAAGCAUUGAGUGAAAGUAGUACUUUUCUAGUGAGAAAUAUGGAGUAUGGAAAUGUUGGAUGUGCAGUGGUGAUGCAGUAAGGGGACAAGCAGUUAAUUGUGGGUUCUUGGCUAAUGGAAGUGUCAAUCAGAGGUAUUUGUUUUCUGGUUGCUUCCUCUGUUUCCGUACAACGUCGAGUCAAAUUGCUCCAUGGGACAGUGGUUCAUCCCCGCCUUCUAUGGUUGUAAUUGCUGGAUAAUAUAUUGGACAAUCUAUGGUACCAUCAGAUUGCCUGGUUUUUGUUGGAUGUGAUUGAACUUCCUGCUGCUCCAGCUUGUGAGAUGUAAUCAUUUCAAUAAAGGGAUGUGGAUGGAUGUGGAUGCGGCAGUCGUGGUAUAGGGUUGAAGUUUCUUGGGCUGUCAUUCGUAUUCUUGGGACAAGGCGUUUUUUUUUGCUGAACUUGGUCCGAAGAAGGUGACAUCGUUAUCUUCGGUGAGCAUUCUUUUUUUGGUGUUUUUCUACUUAUUGCAAAUGAUGUGUUUAGUCAUCCGUGUUUCACCUGAAUUCAUGAUUAUAAUCUUUGACUCUGAUCAUUAUUGGGAGGGAUAUUUUGAAUAGGGCUUUUUCAGUUGCUAACAUUUUAUAAUUGUCUAGGUGACUUGAUGUGAACCUCUGGCUUUGGUUAUUUGUGCUAUAGUCAGACUUGAUUGGGGUUCCAGAAAUUACUGGUGAGUUCAUUUCAAUAUAGAGAACAUGUUUCAUAUGAUGAGAACCUAGGCUAGAGUUUUGAGGUACUUCGGUGGUGUCAUGAAAUUACUCUUAUCUCGUUCAUUACUGAAGAUAAAUUUAAAAACAGUGCAUUAGGCUUUUUUUUCUCGGAUUUAAUGUUUUUAUUGUUUCAUUUCAGGUAAUUGCUUGCUGGUUGCUUUCCUGUUUUCCGUACAACAGUGAGUAAGUUUUUUAAAUUUUUCAGUGGGGUCUGAAUUUAAUGAUGAAUUUUUGUGUGGGAAUCUCUCGGAGAAAAAUGACAGACCAACCAUUGCACUUCCAGAUUUUUCAUACUUAAAACCAACAUUCAUAAACAAAGUUCACGUUCUAAUAGUUAUUUUAUUUACAGGAUAUUUGAAUGGUACCUGGGGGGGGCGGACAGGUAUGAAGAAAUUUCAUUUGAUAACAAAUUAGGGUUAAAUGUGAACAUAAAAUAUCUUAUUUCCCCUUCUGAAAAAUUUUAAAUAAGUGAAGCAUAUUUAACGUUGUACUGAGGAGGAAUUUUACUGUUGAAGUAUUAGGUUAUUUUGUUCAAUUUGAUAGAUUUCAUUUAUUUAUUAGGUACUGUCUGAUUGUCUGGUUUCUUUGGAUGUUGUUGAAUAUCUUGCUGCUUCAGUUUGGGAGGGGUAACAUUAUUUCAACAAUGGUUAAUCUCAGGUUUAGAAGACAAAUGUGACUUAAACCUCAACACUAGACGUAUGAUUCUUGCGAUCUGGACUGCAAUGAUGCGGCCGCUCUGUCAUCGUUGCCCGAUGACCGAAAUAAUUGAUCGAUCUAUUUCUGUCUGUAACGAAGCUGUUCUGCACUACGCCAUUCCCCGUAUUGCAUACGUAGCCCGUAGAUCAAAUUAGGCAUCAUCCUGGAUCAUUUCUACUCCCACCUUCUGUGCAAUAGGAGUUAUUAAGAAAAUUUUUUUUAGCAUGAUUUAUUGCUCCCACCACCCCUCAAUAUAUGAGCAACACGUUCCUCUGCUAAAAACAUAGGCUAAAACACACAUCGAAUUUCUCAGAACAAGUGAAGAUUUUACCGGAAGAUGUUGUUUCGCCACCAGGUGAUGUGAUUCGAAGUCAGCUGAUCACCCCUACUCCCCGCCUCUGCCCCGCCUUCAACAAGUUACGUAUUACUGUAUUACCUCUUUCUCCAUGGCUCCUUCAAGUUUCAGUUCAUGGAAACUGGGAAUGUCGUACUAGUAAUUGUUUUAGAAAUUAUUCGUUUUUGCCAAGUAAGAGAGGUGAUCCAUGCCGUGCAGAGCUGAUUCAAAUUCUGAUUGCGGAAUGAUAACGUUGAAAAACAAAGAGUUAAAGGUUGACAUCCCUUGAAUUGAAAUUACUCUAGUUCAAAAUGUUGUAAAUUGUGAGAUUAUUAUGUAUAUUUCAUGUAUAUGUCUUUCAUACAUGUACGCUACACAUCACAAGUUUGGUAUUUAACUCAUAGAAAGCCAUUUUGCCAAGUCCAUCCCUGCUUCUAGUCUGGCCAAGACCUUUGGCAGCCAUUGUAACACACUCAAGGAAAUAGACUUGACUAGUGAGGAUUUCUUGCACCCAAAGGAAACUGUUCAACAACCUAUUCAACAAUUUUUCCAUUGUAAGGAUGUUUUACUUUGAUUAAGAUAAAGGGAUUCAUUGGAUUAUCAGCUCCAAAUGAUGACAUUUUAUUUUGGAGCCCAUUACUGCUAUAACUGCUAUCCAGCUUUAUCAGGCAAUGAGCUUGGUUUGAAAAACUGCCUGAAAAAAUCUUAAAUGUGACAAGAAAUUAAUAUGAUCUCUUGGUUCCAACGCCGCUGCUUUGUUGUUAUUAAAGGAGUCUGAGUGGAGGUUCUGAGUGGGAAAUUCUUUGAGUAUUGUGUGGUUUUUCCUCCCUUAUUGCUUGUGCAUACAAUCUGAGAUUUGUUGACCUCUUUGGAGCAUUUAUGGAAGGAGAACAUCAUCAAGACCAAUUGCUGGCGUCACCUUGGCCGUCAAUAAACUGUCAAUGCAAAACCGACACCUUCAACAAGUACACCCACGUGUCCUACGCAUCCAUUACGUUGGUUGAUGCCUUAUUUACGCCGACUGGAUACUCAACAGUCUGGUCUUAUCAGUCAGGAGAGGAACUAUCGAAGUAUAAAUUAUCUACUGGAUCUGUGCAGGAAGAUGAUAGCUAAGACCUGUUGGAUUGAAAUUGUGUUUCAUGUUGCCGAAAAUAUGUCUUCUCCUGCAACCUCUUUCUAUAGAAAUAGAACAGCCGUAGCCGACCGCUAGAGUUAGUCCGCCAGAGGUAGAGAACUGUGGCAAAUUACCGCCAUUUCUUCUCUAGUCCAAUUUAUCAUUGAACUUGCUGUAAAAUGAGGAUUAUACUGGCAUAGCUGCUGUCCAAUGAAUGCCGUCUAUGCUGGUGAAAGAUAGUAUUAAGGUCAUUUGACUGUUCCUUGGUGAUUACGAAAAUGCAACCAUUAUUUGUUAAAUUGUUAUUUUUCUAUGCCCUUGACCAUUUAUAUGUUAAAAGAUUGACCAUGAGAUACGAUUGAGAGGAUGAGGAAAAAGAAAAUGGGGAAAUAUGUGCGAUUUAACUAUUAAAUCUCGAGAAAAAUUUUAUAAUCAAA